rnacentral:rRNA from 1 species
AUUGAACGCUGGCGGCACGCUUUACACAUGCAAGUCGAACGGUAACAGGGAGCUUGCUCCGCUGACGAGUGGCGAACGGGUGAGUAAUGCGUCGGAACGUGCCGAGUAGUGGGGGAUAACGCAGCGAAAGUUGUGCUAAUACCGCAUACGUACUGAGGUAGAAAGUGGGGGACCUUCGGGCCUCACGCUAUUCGAGCGGCCGACGUCUGAUUAGCUAGUAGGUGAGGUAAAGGCUCACCUAGGCGACGAUCAGUAGCGGGUCUGAGAGGAUGAUCCGCCACACUGGGACUGAGACACGGCCCAGACUCCGACGGGAGGCAGCAGUGGGGAAUUUUGGACAAUGGGCGAAAGCCUGAUCCAGCCAUGCCGCGUGUCUGAAGAAGGCCUUCGGGUUGCAAAGGACUUUUGUCGGGGAGGAAAUCCCCAGCGCUAAUACCGCUGGGGGAUGACAGUACCUGAAGAAUAAGCACCGGCUAACUACGUGCCAGCCGCCGCAGUAACAC